UUGUAAAAAUAAGUCCCUAGUCACUUUCUAGUUCUUUAAAUAUAUAAUGACAUUCCCUAAUCUGUUAUGAAAUAUAUGAACUUCUCAGGCACGUUUCCUAUUACCCAGGAAGAAAAGAUGGAAGGUUCCAGUCUACAGCUCUCGAGUCCUACUAUGUCAGUUUCUGAAAGGGCUCCUGGUUUUGUGUGUCCUCCCAGGAGGUGUGGCUGAACAGACAAGGAUCUCAUCUAGUCUCAUCUCCCAGUGACCUGUCACAAACCAGAGGCAGCCCUAAAUACCUUAGAGGCAAGGUACAAGGAAACCUGUGUCAGAUAUGUCUAAAUUAUCUGGCUCUUGAAGAAAGACUCCUUCCACCCUGUCAUUAUUAAAAAAGGAAAGAAAACAAAACACAGAAAACUGAAAAGCCCAAACAAACAAAAAUGGAAGCUUUCAAGAAGGAAGGUAGAUGAAUAGACUGCGGUCUCUUCAAGAUGCAAGACAAAGAAGAAAUUGGUCUGGAGACCUGCUGAAGGAAGGGACUGUUUGGCACUCUUUGGUGCAAUAUGAGCAGCUCACCCUCCUAUAUAUAUCUGGGGUUUCUGCAUCUUGUGUUGUAAGCCAAAGCAGUCCCCGGUUGCCACUUUUGGAAGAGAAUUAAAAUCACAUUGUGACUGAUCCAAGAAUCAGACCUGGAAUGUGUAAGCCCAUUUUUGUCUCCUCAAGUGCCAAGGCAACAAAGGAAGGCAACAUUUGCAGCUGACUGGAGGAAGAGGCCAGAUCUACUCAAACAUGUUGAGAGGCACAAAUUCAUGGAGUGACCAGUUUAUGGAACAGGGUGAAGGAUGGAAAACAAGAUAAUUGUGCCAAAGGAAAUUAUUUCAAUCACUCUGUGUGCCUUGAAAUGCUCUGCAUAAACUUAAAGGUGGAAGAAUGGAGAAAAGAGAGAAAGAGGCUUUCUGCUUUCUUAACUGCAUUGUAAAUACAACAGGGAUAGCGAUUUACAGUCUUGGUGCUUAUGAUCUGUAAGCCAAAUGUUGAAGUCUUCUGUGUUUCAGACAUUCCUACUUGCUUCAUACAAGAGUUCACAUGUUAGAGACAGAAUAACACCACUUGCUAAACUUCAGGGACACGUAGUAAUAAGCAUUCAAUUUUCCUUGUUUCCCAAACUACUGGUGUAGCAAUAGGCAUCCAUUCUGGUCAGUAAAGCCUCUGAGUUUGUGCACCACUAUUAUUUUCCUCUGGAGUCAUUCCACUGUAGAAAAUUCCAUGUUUUUGUCUCUUUGUAUCAUUACAGUUGUGAAAUACGUGCCUGGAUUGGUGAGCUCCAAGUCAGAUUUUCUGCUCCUUUAUACUGCUUUUCAUGCCUUUCACCUUUACUGACUUCAGUAGUGCACAAACUCAGAGGCUUUACUUAAAUGGACAAAUUCUCUUUGUGUUGUGAUGAAGGCCUUGGUGUGGCUUUGGGUGAAGAUGAAUGUCACUGAGGUCAAGAUGUGCUCCAUCAUUAUCUCUGAUGUAACAGUGGGAAGGAAACAAUCAUAACUACUCAGUUUUUUGACAGUUGGUAUGAUGUCAGUGUUGCUUGGUGUGUUAUGCCACUAGAUGCAGACCUGAGGUAGGAUGAACCAGGAGGGAUGGUGAGCACCCUUGCUGGAGCUGACAGUUGUCAGAAGAAAUGUUUGUUGGAAACAAAUGAUUGUCUCAACUUGCUGGUGACCUUAACUUGCUCUUUAUAAAACACAGCUUGACUGAUGCACAAUUGUAUCCUGAGAAAUUUGUUUGCUCAAAUUUUAA